CAGGAUCCUAAUGCAGUCACAUUGUGGUAACAACUAAACUCUGCGAGAUAUGUCUCGAGAGGAACUGCUUUGGGAUCAUACCGGGGAAGAGCUUGACGAUCCACUGAUUGGCAGUUAUGGGACGGAGGAGGAAGAGGGGGUUAGAUACAGGAACAGAAAUACUAUCCAGUUAUCACAGUAUGAUACAGCAAAACUAGUGUAUGAACUGGAGGCGACCAGUGCUCUACUGAGGACCUACCUCGGGGAACAGGAAAUAGCUCACACACAGAGUGAUAGCACAGCAGAGAGAAGCCAGACUGGCUGCAGACAUAUCCUGAAAAGAAAGUUUGAUAACAUCUUGGACAAAGUGACAGGGCUGAGGAUCAUUAUUUUCACGUUGGUGCUUCAGGGGUUUAAUCUCCUGAUACAAACUUUGAUUGAUGUGUGGCCAGAGAAAGAUGACUAUAUAGUGUUUGUUGUGAGUUGUUCGACCAUGAUUUUGCUGCAGGUGUUAAAUCUAGUUGUGCUUCUUAUAAGUUCAGUGAAGUUGGUGAAACAGUUGUUUCUUAAAGAAGUGAGCGGGCUUCUGCUGGCUCAGUCCUAUGUAGCAGCUAUCCUUGUGUUUUCUGGAAUCUACACACUUACAAAGAGGCUUCAGCCAGAUUCUUGGAAGUUUGUCCGUGAGGAAACCUGGAAAGACCCAGCCCUUAUUGUCGAGAUGUACUGCCAGUUUCUCUACUUCUCUGUGUCAACAGCCACUCUUUGUGGUAAGAUUACGAAAAUACGAAAUUUAAUCCAUUGAACUAAAUAUUGGUUAUAGUUUGAAUCGGACAACAUUUUGGCAAAUAUCUCUUUAAAAAAAUUACCUGUUUUUUUUUUUAAAUAAUGCUAUUAUCCAUAGUUUUUUGGUUUUGUUUGUUUUGUUGGUUUUGUUUUUUUUUGGGGGGGGGGGGGCUUUUUUGAUCAACCAAAAGAGACAACUUGAAGCUCUUUGCAAUUAAAAAAUUCUAAUAUUAUGGGUCCAGUUUCCACUUUCAGAUGAGUAACGGAGGUAACAAGUGGACACUUUAAGGGAGAUUUAGGACUUACUUUUGAUAUAUUUCUCUGUAAACAGUGUGUCUGGUAUUAUGUUGAAAUUCUUUUCUUAGGAACAGCAGAAGUUACCCCCAAUAAAUGGUACAACUAUAUUUGUGUGUCUUUCCAGAUGUUGCUUAGUUUUAUGUACUUUGCCUCCAUACUUGGACAAGUGAUGGCUCCUAUCACAUCCCCUCCCUCAAGUCAACGUCCUCUCUCACGACACCGAGCAUCAAGCCGAUUCCCAUCAACAAUAAUCCACAGCCGGGCAUCUAGCCAAGACGAGGAAGGUACCAGUAAAAUAGGUGACAACUCAGUAUCCUGAAGACAUUCAUUGGAAGCUGUUAACUUUUGAAUAUCAAGGAUACCUAUUCUGUGAAACGGACAACAACUAAGUCCUAUCCUUGAAGUCUCUUUCAAGUUCCAUGGAUGUCAGCAAACGGACAAGACAAUAGGAACUGAUUGUACCAGUGUUCUUUCACUGAAUUCCAUUGGAAAAUAAUUUACCAAUUUUUGAAGUGCGAUCAAGAAAAGCAUCAUUGGCAGCUAAUUUUGUAUGAAUGAAAUAUUUUGAGGUUUUAUUAUAUUUUUUAUGUGUAUGACACAUGGUUUGAUCCAUUUCUUGCGGUUCAUAUAUCAUCAAAUUGGCAAUGUAUUCAUGGGUGAGUGUGUGUGUCUAUUUUCAAUAAGGAGAUGCAUUGCCAGAAUUAGGGAUGUGUUUGUGUGUGUCUUUUCUUGUAUUGAUAGAAUAACGGGAGAAUAUUUUCCAUUCUAUGAAUUCAACAUCAUAAAUAAAUUAUACACUU
rnacentral:misc_RNA from 1 species